CGGGGGCUGCGUGGCCUUCGUGCUGGACAACACCAUCCCAGGAAGCCCCGAGGAGAGGGGAAUUCGGAAAUGGAAGAAAGGGGUCGGCAAAGGCAGCAAAUCCCUGGAUGGCAUGGAAACCUACGAUCUGCCUUUUGGCAUGAACUUCAUUAAAAAGUACAGGUGUUUCAGCUUCCUGCCCAUCAGCCCCACCUUCGUGGGCUACACGUGGAAAGGCUUCAGGAAAAGCAGCAGCUGCAGGAGUUCAGAUGAAGACUCAGAAGCUACAGUAUAGCCUUAGCUGAAAUUCUAUUAUCUAGUUGUAGUCAGAGAUGUAUUUGCAGUUUCUUGCUGAUUAAGAAGCAUUAAAAUAUAUGUUUUGUAUAUCUGCAUUUAAAUUCUGGAACCAGAGCUGAGACNAUUUGAA